GAAAACUGGGAAGUUGGGAGAGGUUUCUGUGUGUCAGCGAUCAAAACAGCAUUUUACCCAAGGGACCCGGCUGUGCCUCCGGUUGGGGGCUGUUCCACCUUUUACAGUUUACUUCAGUUUUUAAAAUUGUCUUGAGUUUUGAAAUUUGAAUUAUUUUUCGAAAUUUAGCUGCGAGUUGUGAAUGUUUCUAAGUUUUGGAAAUGUAGCUUCGCAAAUACAGGUUUUGGAAGGGAGAUUUGCAUUUUGAAAAUUUCAGUUGUGACCUCAAGUAGUUCACAAGUAUUUUGUUUACUUUAAAGUAAUCAUUUUAGAUUUGAUUUCGUAAAGAUGUCCCCCAAAUGGUCAUGUGUAACAGUUAUUGCCCUAACGUUAAAUACGUGCCUGGCGCCUAUCAUACAUUUGUACUGAUACGUGAUUCGUGUUUAUAUUAUAAACACCUGUUGGCACAUAUACACACGGCCCUGAGUCUGGGGACCCCCCCCCCCGGGCGGCGCGCUUAACCCUGGUCUCGCGAGACCUGUCUGUGCGGACGGCCCCGCGGGCGGUCCUUGCACUCCUGCUGAGACCUCUCUCCCGCAGGUGCCUGGCUCCGCCCUGUCCCGUCGCGCGCGGACGCGCCCAGCAGGGGGCGCCGUCUCCGUGCUCUUGGAGCCGCCGUUCCUCCCACGCGCACCUGCAGUGGGGCGGAAAGGGGCGCGGCCUGGAAUGCGGACAAACCCUCCAGCCCGCUUUCCGGAAGGGGCCCGGGGCGAGUUUAAGCGUAACUUAGACCCGCCCUCGCUGCAGCCGGACGGAAAUUCCCAUCCCGCUGGAACGGGCGAGGGCGCCGAGGAACACCCCCCCCCCCCCCCGAGGAUCGCAGCAGGGGGCGCAGGUGUCCGUCCACAAGCUACCUUCCUAGGUGACAGCUCCUGCCAGAGAGCCUCCCAGUAUAUUCCUGCAGGAACGCAGCGCCACGCUCUUCCUGGAGUGGGCGAAAGAUCUAAUAAACUCGAGUUCCUACACGCCGGUUUCAUUAAUGUUACGAAAGCAAACUUUUAUCAUUUGCCCGCCGCUCCUUUUUCAGAGGCGGGAGAGGGCGGUAAGAGGCACAGACUCGGUCCCGUAUGUCAUUCUUCCGUCUUCAAAGCACCGAGCAACUACGGAUGAAGUGAGAGCACAUCUCGGCACUGCUUCAAGAGGCCGAGGUGGGAAGGGGGGGCAUCUGCGGAAAUAGAUGCUUCCUGUUCUACCCAUGUGAUGGCUGCGAUGUCCUACGAGUUCAUCUGUCCGCCCAACUGUGUUCAAGUUUUCCUACACGCGCUAAGGGACCAGGUGUGCAGUGUCACCGAAAACCUUUCAAAAAGGCCAAGUCCUUCGAGCCGGAUUCGAACCAGCGACCUAAGGAUGACCACAACCACACGCCUACAGCCCUCCACUCUACCAACUGAGCUAUCAAAGGAUUGGUGGGUUGGAGAAAACAGUAAGCCAUCUGGACAGACAUUUCUCGAUGAUGUAUCCUUAGAAAAGAUUUCUGGGAAGGAUCUCAACAGACAUUUCACCGAAGAUGUGCAGAUGACCUAUAACUACCUGAAAAGGUAGACAUCAUUAGCCACGAGGGAAAUGCAGAUUAAGCCCCGGGAGAUGCCUCCACACAUUCAUCAAAGGAGGCUGAAAUCUAAGACGACCCCGAGAUUUUCACCCACCUCUUAGAAUAUCUGAAUAAUCCCCUCCCCAUAAAUGUGGGUGGGACAUGUGAAUGUGUUACAGUGUUCCUUACGAUUCUGAAUGGCCAAUAUUUAAAAGACUGACUGUGCUAAGAUGUGGAGAAACGAACUGCAAUGAGAAUGUAAAACGGUAUAGCCCCCUUGGAUAACAGCUGGUAGUUUCUUUGAAAGUUAAAUACACACUUCCCAUAGGAUCCAGCAGUCCCAUGCCUAUGUUAUUUACCGAAAAUAAAUGAAAACGCACGUCCACACAAAGACUUACACCCGAAAUAUUUAUAGCCACGUAAUAGUCGGUGAGGACCGCCAUGACAACGCGCCACAGGCUGGGUGACUCAAGCAACAGAAAUUUAUUUCCUCACAGCUCUGGAAGCUGAGGCCCAAGAUCAAGGUGUCAGCAGGGUUGAUUUCUUCUGCGGCCUCUGUUUGGCCUCAGAAGGGUAUCUUCUUGUUUCCUCCUUCCACGGUAGUUACUUUGUACUCACAUGCUCCUAGCGACUCUCUCUGUGUCCUCAUCACCUCCUCUUGUAAAGAUGCCAGCCAGAUCGGGUCAAGGCACACAAUGAGUGCAGUAACGUCUUUCAGGGUCCAUCUCCAAAUACGGUCUCAUUCUGAUAUGCUGGAAAUCAGGGCUUCAACAUAGGAACGGGGCGGGGGGUGGUUAUUCGGUCCAUAACAAGCAGUUUUGUUAUUAACAAGAAAACCAAUACCAAGUUUCGUUAGCUGGUGAGUGAAGAAACAAAUCGUAGUACGUCCCUACCAUGGGCUACUGACCAGUAAGAGGGAAUGAACCAUGGGUAUACACCCGGUGAAUCCCAACAGCACUGCUAGGUAAAGGAAGCCAGGCUCCCAGCCGCACUCUGCGCGAGUCUCUCUCUAGACUUUUGCAAAAAGUACUGCGACGGAAAGCAGAUCAGUGCUUCCGAAGGCGGAAGUAAACCUUUUGGAGGGAUGAAAAGGUUCUAUAUCAUGAUGGUUGUGGUAGUUCUGUGACUGAAUAUAAUUUUCAAGACUCACCGAACAUACACUUAAAAAGACUUAAAAGGAAUGGAUUUUACUAUGUGUGUGGGGGGUUUUUGUUUUGUUUUGUUU